rnacentral:rRNA from 1 species
CCCUACGGGGCGCAGCAGGCCUGUUGUGGCCCAGGGCCAUCACAUCGGGUCCGACCAACAACUAUGUUCACAUGGUCGUAUUGACAUCUCCAGUUAACAACGGCGGUGUCGAAUAUCAAGGACUUGACGGUGCCCUGCUUUAUUACCGCUCGCUCGACGGCGGCGCCACCUGGGAUAAGAACGGGAUUAUCCUCCCGGGUCUUGAUUCCAACAAUUAUGACGGAUUCAGCGCUGAUGUAUAUUCCUGUGGGACCCCCCAGGGCGAUGUUAUCUAUUUUGGC